rnacentral:rRNA from 1 species
AUUGAACGCUGGCGGCAGGCCUAACACAUGCAAGUCGAACGGUAAGUUGAAUAGCAAUAUUUGACCUAGAGUGACGUACGGGUGCGUAACACGUAUGCAACCUACCUUGUACAGGAGGAUAGCUCGGGGAAACUCGAAUUAACCCUCCAUAAGAUCGUGAAGUGGCAUCACUUAGCGAUAAAAACUCCGGUGGUACAAGAUGGGCAUGCGUCUGAUUAGUUAGUUGGCGGGGUAACGGCCCACCAAGACGAUGAUCAGUAGGGGAACUGAGGGGUUGAUCCCCCACACUGGCACUGGGAUACGGGCCAGACUCCGACGGGAGGCAGCAGUAGGGAAUAUUGGUCAAUGGAUGCAAGUCUGAACCAGCCAUGCCGCGUGCAGGAAGAAGGCCUUCUGGGUUGUAAACUGCUUUUGCCAGGGGAUAAAAAGACCUUGCGAGGUUAAUUGAAGGUACCUGGUGAACAAGCCACGGCUAACUACGUGCCAGCCGCCGCGGUAAAAC